UACGUAGGGUGCAAGCGUUAAUCGGAAUACUGGGCGUAAAGCGUGCGCAGGCGGUGAUGUAAGACAGAUGUGAAAUCCCCGGGCUCAACCUGGGAACUGCAUUUGUGACUGCAUCGCUGGAGUGCGGCAGAGGGGGAUGGAAUUCCGCGUGUAGCAGUGAAAUGCGUAGAUAUGCGGAGGAACACCGAUGGCGAAGGCAAUCCCCUGGGCCUGCACUGACGCUCAUGCACGAAAGCGUGGGGAGCAA
rnacentral:rRNA from 1 species